rnacentral:rRNA from 1 species
GGAAUCUACCUAGUAGUGGGGGAUAGCACGGGGAAACUCGUAUUAAUACCGCAUACGACCUACGGGAGAAAGGGGGCAGUUUACUGCUCUCGCUAUUAGAUGAGCCUAAGUCGGAUUAGCUAGAUGGUGGGGUAAAGGCCUACCAUGGCGACGAUCUGUAGCUGGUCUGAGAGGAUGAUCAGCCACACCGGGACUGAGACACGGCCCGGACUCCUACGGGAGGCAGCAGUGGGGAAUAUUGGACAAUGGGGGAAACCCUGAUCCAGCCAUGCCGCGUGUGUGAAGAAGGCCUUUUGGUUGUAAAGCACUUUAAGCAGUGAAGAAGACUCCAUGGUUAAUACCCAUGGACGAUGACAUUAGCUGCAGAAUAAGCACCGGCUAACUCUGUGCCAGCAGCCGCGGUAAUACAGAGGGUGCAAGCGUUAAUCGGAAUUACUGGGCGUAAAGGGAGCGUAGGUGGCUCUAUAAGUCAGAUGUGAAAUCCCCGGGCUUAACCUGGGAACUGCAUCUGAAACUGUAGAGCUAGAGUAUGUGAGAGGAAGGUAGAAUUCCAGGUGUAGCGGUGAAAUGCGUAGAGAUCUGGAGGAAUACCGAUGGCGAA